rnacentral:lncRNA from 1 species
UCUGCCUGCACGAGAAAGAAAACGAUUACUCCAACUACUAAUACGUUUCCAAAUGCGAUCCCUCAAGAAAGAGAAAAUUUGCUUUUUACUACGGCCAAUAAGAGAUGGUAACCCCAAAUAAUUACCGCUACCCAAAGGAAGAUGAACAUCAAGUAUUCCAGAGAUGGUCAACCGGUUUUCCUCAGACACACACGGACUAAACAUGAUACCAGAUUUAUCAAAAUUUACAGCCUGACCUGAAGCCUUCUCAUAAACACCAAGAAUUUGCUUAAUCCGUAUAGCUUCCUCCACUGUACCAUCAAAAAAUAGUAAGGAAUCAUCUACAAAGAAAAGGUGAGAAACUCGGGGGCAACCAACUUUCGCGCAACACCCAUGCAAAAGGCC